rnacentral:rRNA from 1 species
GACGAACGCUGGCGGCGUGCUUAACACAUGCAAGUCGAACGGAAAGGCCCUGCUUUUGUGGGGUGCCCGAGUGGCGAACGGGCGAGUAACACGUGAGUAACCUGCCCUUGACUUUGGGAUAACUUCAGGAAACUGGGGCUAAUACCGGAUAGGAGCUCCUGCUGCAUGGUGGGGGUUGGAAAGUUUCGGCGGUUGGGGAUGGACUCGCGGCUUAUCAGCUUGUUGGUGGGGUAGUGGCUUACCAAGGCUUUGACGGGUAGCCGGCCUGAGAGGGUGACCGGCCACAUUGGGACUGAGAUACGGCCCAGACUCCUACGGGAGGCAGCAGUGGGGAAUAUUGCACAAUGGGCGGAAGCCUGAUGCAGCAACGCCGCGUGCGGGAUGACGGCCUUCGGGUUGUAAACCGCUUUCGCCUGUGACGAAGCGUGAGUGACGGUAAUGGGUAAAGAAGCACCGGCUAACUACGUG